CCUACGGGUGGCAGCAGUGGGGAAUCUUGCACAAUGGGCGAAACCCUGAUGCAGCAACGCCGCGUGAAGGAAGAAGGAUUUCGGUAUGUAAACUUCUAUUAGUAGGGAAGAAAAUGACUGUACGUGACUGAUCAGGUUUGGCCAACUUCUUGCCAGCAGCCGCGGUAAUACGUAGGGGGCAAGCGUUAUCCGGAUUUACUGGGAGUAAAGGGAGCGUAGGCGGUUCAGCAAGUCAGAAGUGAAAGCCCUGGGCUCAACCCGAGGACUGCAUUUGAAACUGUGGAACUUGAGUGCAGGAGAGGUAAGUGGAAUUCCUAGUGUAGCGGUGAAAUGCGUAGAUAUAAGGAGGAACACCAGUGGCGAAGGCGGCUUACUGGACUGUAAAUGACGCUGAGGCUCGAAAGCGUGGGUAGCAAACAGGAUUAGAUACCCUGGUAGUC
rnacentral:rRNA from 1 species